rnacentral:rRNA from 1 species
GAUGAACGCUGGCGGCGUGCCUAAUACAUGCAAGUCGAGCGAACAGACGAGGAGCUUGCUCCUCUGACGUUAGCGGCGGACGGGUGAGUAACACGUGGAUAACCUACCUAUAAGACUGGGAUAACUUCGGGAAACCGGAGCUAAUACCGGAUAAUAUAUUGAACCGCAUGGUUCAAUAGUGAAAGACGGUUUUGCUGUCACUUAUAGAUGGAUCCGCGCCGCAUUAGCUAGUUGGUAAGGUAACGGCUUACCAAGGCAACGAUGCGUAGCCGACCUGAGAGGGUGAUCGGCCACACUGGAACUGAGACACGGUCCAGACUCCUACGGGAGGCAGCAGUAGGGAAUCUUCCGCAAUGGGCGAAAGCCUGACGGAGCAACGCCGCGUGAGUGAUGAAGGUCUUCGGAUCGUAAAACUCUGUUAUUAGUGAAGAACAAAUGUGUAAUUAACUAUGCACGUCUUGACGGUACCUAAUCAGAAAGCCACGGCUAACUACGUG